rnacentral:tRNA from 1 species
GCCGGAGUAGCUCAGUCGGCAGAGCGGCUCACUCGUAAUGAGCAGGUCAGGGGUUCGAUUCCCCUCUCCGGCU